rnacentral:rRNA from 1 species
AUUGAACGCUGGCGGCAGGCCUAACACAUGCAAGUCGGACGGUAGCACAGAGGAGCUUGCUCCUCGGGUGACGAGUGGCGGACGGGUGAGUAAUGUCUGGGGAUCUGCCCGAUAGAGGGGGAUAACCACUGGAAACGGUGGCUAAUACCGCAUAACGUCGCAAGACCAAAGAGGGGGACCUUCGGGCCUCUCACUAUCGGAUGAACCCAGAUGGGAUUAGCUAGUAGGCGGGGUAACGGCCCACCUAGGCGACGAUCCCUAGCUGGUCUGAGAGGAGGAGCAGCCACACUGGAAAUGAGACACGGUCCAGACUCCUACGGGAGGCAGCAGUGGGGAAUAUUGCACAAUGGGAGCAAGCCUGAUGCAGCCAUGCCGCGUGUAUGAAGAAGGCCUUCGGGUUGUAAAGUACUUUCAGCGGGGAGGAAGGCGAUAAGGUUAAUAACCUUGUCGAUUGACGUUACCCGCAGAAGAAGCACCGGCUAACUCCGUGCCAGCCGCCGCCGUAA